rnacentral:rRNA from 1 species
GGAUGCGAUCAUACAGGCACUAACGUACCGGAUCCCAUCAGAACUCCUAAGUUAAGCGUGUUUGGGCGAGAGUAGUACUAGCAUAGGUAAUCCCUUGGGAAGUCCUCGUGCUGCAUCUU